rnacentral:rRNA from 1 species
AGAAUCAACGCUGGCGGCGUGCCUAACACAUGCAAGUCGCACGAGAAAGGGUAGCAAUACCUGAGUACAGUGGCGCACGGGUGAGUAACACGUGAAUAAUCUACCUCCGAGUGGGGAAUAACUGAGAGAAAUCUUAGCUAAUACCGCAUAAUACCCACGGGUCAAAGCAGCAAUGCGCUUGGAGAGGAGUUCGCGGCAGAUUAGUUAGUUGGCGGGGUAAUGGCCCACCAAGACGAUGAUCUGUAUCCGGCCUGAGAGGGCGCACGGACACACUGGAACUGAAACACGGUCCAGACUCCUACGGGAGGCAGCAGUGGGGAAUUUUGCGCAAUGGGGGAAACCCUGACGCAGCAACGCCGCGUGGAGGAUGAAGCCCCUUGGGUGUAAACUCCUUUCGAUCGGGAAGAUAAUGACGGUACCGAUAUAAGAAGCCCCGGCUAACUUCGUGCCAGCAGCCGC